CACGUAGGGUGCGAGCGUUGUCCGGAAUCAUUGGGCGUAAAGAGCGCGUAGGCGGCCAGAUAAGUCCGGUGUGAAAGUCACAGGCUCAACCUGUGAAUGCCGCUGGAAACUGUCUGGCUAGAGUCCGGAAGGGGCGAGUGGAAUUCCUGGUGUAGCGGUGAAAUGCGCAGAUAUCAGGAGGAACACCGGUGGCGAAGGCGGGUCUCUGGGCCGAUACUGACGCUGAGGAGCGAAAGCGUGGGGAGCGAACAGG
rnacentral:rRNA from 1 species